UACGGAGGGAGCUAGCGUUAAUCGGAAUUACUGGGCGUAAAGCGUGCGCAGGCGGUUUUGUAAGUCUGUCGUGAAAGCCCCGGGCUCAACCUGGGAAUUGCGAUGGAGACUGCAAGGCUUGAAUCUGGCAGAGGGGGGUAGAAUUCCACGUGUAGCAGUGAAAUGCGUAGAGAUGUGGAGGAACACCGAUGGCGAAGGCAGCCCCCUGGGUCAAGAUUGACGCUCAUGCACGAAAGCGUGGGGAGCAAACGGG
rnacentral:rRNA from 1 species